rnacentral:rRNA from 1 species
GAUGAACGCUGGCGGCGUGCUUAACACAUGCAAGUCGAACGGGAAUUAUUUUAUUGAAACUUCGGUCGAUUUAAUUUAAUUCUAGUGGCGGACGGGUGAGUAACGCGUGGGUAACCUGCCUUAUACAGGGGGAUAACAGUCAGAAAUGGCUGCUAAUACCGCAUAAGCGCACAGAGCUGCAUGGCUCAGUGUGAAAAACUCCGGUGGUAUAAGAUGGACCCGCGUUGGAUUAGCUUGUUGGCAGGGUAACGGCCUACCAAGGCGACGAUCCAUAGCCGGCCUGAGAGGGUGAACGGCCACAUUGGGACUGAGACACGGCCCAGACUCCUACGGGAGGCAGCAGUGGGGAAUAUUGCACAAUGGGGGAAACCCUAAUGCAGCGACGCCGCGUGAAGGAAGAAGUAUCUCGGUAUGUAAACUUCUAUCAGCAGGGAAGAUAGUGACGGUACCUGACUAAGAAGCCCCGGCUAACUACGUG